GUUCACGAGCUGCAGCGUCAAGUACCUGGCUAGCUGCACGGCAACCCUCCACCUGAGUGGGGUGCCCCAGGGGAAGAACGGGUCGACACCGCCCGGUGUGCGACAAGUCAGUUCA
rnacentral:ncRNA from 1 species